AAUUGCAAGCCUUUCAGUUUCUCAUUUGCGUAUCGUACAUAUCUCUCCAUCUCUGAGAUCAGAAUGUGUUGGAUUCAUAUAACCUAAACUGGGAAUCAUGUCUUGGAUUUAUGAUAUGUCGAACUGGUGAAAUUUGCAAAUAUACAAACACACAUAGGACAGGUUAAGAUGAAU